AAUCGACCCCACAUCUCCACCAGCCGCCGGGCGGGACUGGGCAAGGCUGCCAGCGCUCGCCCCCGCCCGGGCUUGGCCGGGGUCCAGGCGGGGCCACACGCCUCUCCUCUGGCCCUGUUCAGGGUCCAGCUCGCACAGCGCCUCAGCCCGCCCCCCCUCGGUCCUUCCCCGCCUCUUUAGCUGUAGCCCAGGGACAGAGAGAUGACCAAGGCUUCUCUUUCAUUACUUCUCAGUCACCGACUACCCACUCCUGCAAGCAUCGUCCCCCCGCGCGAUGACACACUAAACUUUCCUAUACAUCCAACACCAAUCUCCAACUUCAGGCUUGGAGGCAGGUACCAGGGCCUGAGAACGGGACAGCGAUUAUGAUGUCGCCGGGAAGGUACCACAGCACCUCCAUUCACAUAAACCCCGAAGCACCCCCAAUACCGCGGGCUGGAUGUCCCCCAGCGUCCUUGGCCUACACAGAUGCCAUCGCCCCAUUUUCUGCGAUAGAAACACUGAGACCAGAAGAGGGGGAAAGGCUUUUCCGAUCUGAUGACAGCUUCCAUCUGUAGGGGCGACAGAGCCUGCAGCACCUUCCCCGGGGGACAUGUCUGAAAUGAUUUACCAAAUGCAUCAUCUGUACUUGGAUAUGCAAAAUCUACAUAUGUCCUCUUGUCGGCAGCUUCCAUCAGGCAGCAUGCAAAAUUGGGACUUGCUUAUGGUCCAGACUUUAGAAGAUGAAUCAGGUUCCAUGAAGCCCAGUCUAGCUCAGUCUUGCUGUGCAACUAAGGAUAACCCCGAGUUUAUGAUCCUCCUAGCUGCACCUCCUUCCUAGGCUGAGAUCGUAAGUGUGUACUACCUUGCUUAUUUUUCUGUCUGUUUUGUGUGUUUGCAUGACUUUGUGGGAUAUGCUGGGGAUCAAACCCAAGGUUUCUGUAUGUUAGUCCAGCAUUCUCCCAACAGAGCCACACCCCCAGCCCGUACCAUUUUUCUUAAUGGCUGUCCAGAAAACCAUCAGUCCUUUUGGCAACACGAAAGGAUGCUCUUGUGCCUUUAUCUGCUCUGUGUAGUUGUGUGGACACUUCUGUUCCCUUUUGUCUCAUCACAUUCUCCCAGUUUCUCCCCUAGGUUUUCUGGGCUGUUUCAUCUUACUCUCUGGCCAGUUGGAAGAUAAUACUCUCAGUAUCUGAUUGCCCUUGAUGUUCUGAGCAGACUUCAAGUGUCGGAGCCCGGGACCUUACCCUGCUGUCCUUCCUUCACCAGUGACUCCCACGUGUGUAUCCCCGCCCAGCGGGCACUUGUGCUCCUUUGCCCAAGCUUCUCAGAGCAUUAGGCUCCUUCCCUGCCUCUGAAACUUCCUCCCUGUGGAUCCUGCCCAUUGGUAUCUCUCGAGAGGCUGGCAGAACACAGAUCCAAUUACAUCCCCCCACCUCUGCCGAAAAGCUUGCAGGGGCUCUGUGUUGUGUUUGUGUGGCUGAUAAAAAAAACUCCCAGGGAGUUCACUGGUUCUGAACAAAAGCAUACGCUGCCGAGGGUCUGGCCUGGGAGCUGGAGCAUCAGAAGCCUCCCAGCCUCGUUCUGCACCACUUUUCCUUGCCUUCUUUGCUGUCAGUCACUCCAGCUAAUCUCAGAGUUCUCAAAUAAACAAUACUCCUUCCUCAGACCUCACCUCUCUGUCCUUUCCCUGCCUGGCCUGGCUAGCUUCUUCCAGGAAUCAGUUUAUGUCACUUCCCGAGAGGAGCCUCCCUUGCGUUCACUAGACACUUGACCUAGGGGUUUUCCUUCGUGCUGCCGAUGGCAGGUGGUAACUGUACCUUCACUGUGUGAUCACCAGGAGUUGGGGGCCCCUGAGUACAGG